rnacentral:rRNA from 1 species
GUGGGGAAUAUUGGACAAUGGGCGCAAGCCUGAUCCAGCAAUGCCGCGUGGGUGAAGAAGGCCUUCGGGUUGUAAAGCCCUUUUGUACGGAAAGAAAUCCUGGUGGUUAAUACCCGCCGGGGAUGACGGUACCGUAAGAAUAAGCACCGGCUAACUUCGUGCCAGCAGCCGCGGUAAUACGAAGGGUGCAAGCGUUAAUCGGAAUUACUGGGCGUAAAGCGUGCGUAGGUGGUUUCUUAAGUCUGUCGUGAAAGCCCUGGGCUCAACCUGGGAAUGGCGAUGGAUACUGGGAGGCUAGAGUGCGGUAGAGGAUGGCGGAAUUCCCGGUGUAGCGGUGAAAUGCGUAGAGAUCGGGAGGAACAUCUGUGGCGAAGGCGGCCAUCUGGACCAGCACUGACACUGAGGCACGAAAGCGUGGGGAGCAAACAGGAUUAGAUACCCGAGUAGUCC